UGCCUCGAGUUCACUCCAACCCAAUGUGACGUUACCAAACUGUUGCCUCGGCGGGAUCUCUGCCCCGGGUGCGUCGCAGCCCCGGACCAAGGCGCCCGCCGGAGGACCAACCAAAACUCUUAUUGUAUACCCCCUCGCGGGUUUUUUUAUAAUCUGAGCCUUCUCGGCGCCUCUCGUAGGCGUUUCGAAAAUGAAUCAAAACUUUCAACAACGGAUCUCUUGGUCCUGGCAUCGAUGAAGAACGCAGCGAAAUGCGAUAAGUAAUGUGAAUUGCAGAAUUCAGUGAAUCAUCGAAUCUUUGAACGCACAUUGCGCCCGCCAGUAUUCUGGCGGGCAUGCCUGUCCGAGCGUCAUUUCAACCCUCGAACCCCUCCGGGGGGUCGGCGUUGGGGAUCGGCCCUGCCUUGGCGGUGGCCGUCUCCGAAAUACAGUGGCGGUCUCGCCGCAGCCUCUCCUGCGCAGUAGUUUGCACACUCGCAUCGGGAGCGCGGCGCGUCCACAGCCGUUAAACACCCAACUUCUGAAAUGUUGACCUCGGAUCAGGUAGGAAUACCCGCUGAACUUAAGCAUAUCAAUAAGCGGAGGA
rnacentral:sRNA from 1 species